AUCAGGGAAGAGAAAAAUGUUUCCUACAAAACACCAGGAAGAAUAUUUGUCAAAGCUAAAUCCAAAAGCCUUCAAUUGAAUUCUAAAUCAUAGGAGAAAGAUAAGUAACUGAUAAUGCUACCAAUAUGUGGAAUUUAAACCUUCACUUCCCAUCCCAAAAUUACUGCAGAGAUGAGAAGUAACUUGAAAAUAUACUGCUACUUCUAAACAACUGAAGAUUUCAUAGAUAACAUUAAUAAAAUGGACUUUUGCAAAAUAGAAUUCAACACUUACUAUAUUUCACUUGCAUGGCCUUGACAAGUAAGGUUCACGGAAGUCAUUAUGUGAGGUUCCUGCAACUGAUAUACACAUACACAUUGUCUUGUUUCUGGAUAGCUGGAAGGACAAAAUAGGCAAGCGUUGAUCUCCAGAAACAUUCUGCAACUGAUCUAUUUCUACAACUAAGUGUCAACAAUCUCCAGCAGCUGAUAUAGAGAAAAUUUUGAAAUAACUGUUCAAUAGGAGAAAAAACCACAACUAUGUACAAAUUAAUAUCUGUAGUAUGAUACAUACUAUGUAAAAUUGAAGUAGGAAGUAAGCAUUUAUCUAUUUUUUAUGCAAAAAGAAAAAGGAAAAUAAAAGAUAAAUAGGGACCAGAUGAACUGAAAUGGAAGAAUUGAGGUGGGUAGGAUAUUUAGUAGAAAUUCUCUGAGUAUUCCUUUUUGAAUAAUUUUGAUUUUUGGAACUACACUAUAUUUUUACUAAAAGAUGUCUUAAGAACAGAAAAAAUAUUAAAAUGUAAUAUACUAGAAACAAAUGAACAUAAAUAUAUUUUAAGUAAAUAACAACUGCAAUAAAGGGUGGGGAAAUAGCUAAUUAAA